rnacentral:rRNA from 1 species
GACGGAACCGUGCGAACGUUGUCCGGAAUCACUGGGCGUAAAGGGCGCGUAGGCGGCUUGAUAAGCGUGCCGGUGAAAGCCCGGGGCUCGAACCCCGGGUCGGCCGUGCGAACUGUCGAGCUGGAGCACUGGUAGAGGCAGGUGGAAUUCCGGGUGUAGCGGUGGAAUGCGUAGAGAUCCGGAAGAACACCGGUGGCGAAGGCGGCCUGCUGGGCAGUGGCUGACGCUGAGGCGCGACAGCGUGGGGAGGCAAACAGG